rnacentral:rRNA from 1 species
UACGUAGGGUGCAAGCGUUGCCCGGAUUUAUUGGGCGUAAAGAGCGCGCAGGCGGUCGUUCAAGUCGAGUGUGAAAGCCCCCGGCUCAACUGGGGAGGGUCACUCGAUACUGAUCGACUCGAAGGCAGGAGAGGGAAGUGGAAUUCCCGGUGUAGUGGUGAAAUGCGCAGAUAUCAGGAGGAACACCAAUGGCGAAGGCAGAU